rnacentral:rRNA from 1 species
AUUCUCGUUGAUCCUGCGAGAGAUUUCCGCUAGAGGGGUUGGAUUAAGCCAUGAAAGUGUGUUAGACUUGUUCUGACCGCGGAAUGCUGAGUAACACGUCACUAAUCUGCCUUAUGGCUUCUAAUAAUCUCGGGAAACUGAGUGUAAAGGAAAUAGUUAUUUUAUGCUGGAAUGCUUAAAUAAUGAACAUAAGAUGAGGUGGCGGCCGAUUAGAUUGUUGGUGAGGUAAUGGCUCACCAAGUCAAAGAUCGGUAGGGGUCGUGAGAGCGAUGACCUCCAGAAGGACACUGAGAUAAGGGUCCUAGCCCUAAGGGGUGCAGCAGGCGCGAAAACUCUACAAUGCACGCAAGUGUGAUAGGGCAACCCCUCGUGCUUAUCUAACGGUAGGCUUUUAUUAUGUGUAAUGAGCAUGAUGAAUAAGUGGUGGGCAAGACCGGUGCCAGCAGCCGCGGUAAUACCGGCGCCACGAGUGGAGAUCAUUAUUAUUGGGUCUAAAGUGUUCGUAGCUGGUUUUGUAAGUCUUUUGUGAAAGUUCUGUGGCUUAACCCAGAAUUUGCAAAAGAUACUGCAUGACUUGAGACCGGAAGAGGUGUGAAGUAUUGUUUGGGUAGCGGUAAAAUGCUAUAAUCCUUACAAGACUAACUAAGGCGAAGGCAUCACACUUUGACGGAUCUGACAGUGAGGAACGAGAGCCAGGGUAGCGAACCGGAUUAGAUACCCGGGUAGUCCUGGCCGUAAACGCUGCGGGUUACGCUUUGCUAAAUCUACGAGAUUUAGCAGGGGGGUAGCGAAGGCAUUAAACCCGCCACCUGGGGAGUACAGCCGCAAGGCCGAAACUUAAAGGAAUUGCCGGGGGAGUACUACAAGGGGUGCGGCGUGCGGUUUAAUUGGAUUAUACACCGAGAAUCUUACCAGGGGCGACAGCACAAUGAAGGUCAGAUUAAAGGUUUUACCUAAGACGCUGAGAGGUGCUGCAUGGCCGCCGUCAGCUCGUGCUGUAAGGUGUCCUCUUAAGUGAGGAAACGAGCAAGACCCAUGUUUAUAAUUACUAUCUGGGUUAGCCAGAGUACAUUAUAGAGACUGCCUUGGAAACAAGGAGGAAGGUGUGGGCCACGGUAGGUCUGUAUAGCCCGAAUCUCCUGGGCUACACGCGCGCAACAAUGGCUAGGACAAUAAGUCGCCACUCCGAAAGGAGGAGCUAAUCUUUAAACCUAGUCUAAGUUUAGAUCGAGGCUUGUAACUCAGCCUCGUGACAUCGGAAUCCCUAGUAACCGGACUUUAUCAGAGUCCGGUGAAUAUGUCCAUUCUCCUUGGACACACUGCCCGUCAAACCAACCAAGUAGGGCUGAGAUGAGGUGUUCUUUUUUUGAGGACAUCGAGUCUUAGUUCUGUGAGGGGGGUUAAGUCGUCACAAGGUAUCCGUAGGGGAACCUGCGGAUGGAUCACCUCCUU